rnacentral:other from 11 species
CGCUAUCAUCAUUAUUUUCAUUAUUACCUUCAUUAUCCGAAGAUAAUUUCUGCAUACCUUUAACCGGCUUCUGGCCGGUUUUUUAU